rnacentral:misc_RNA from 1 species
GAUGAAGAACGUAGCGAAAUGCGAUACGUAAUGUGAAUUGCAGAAUUCAGUGAAUCAUCGAAUCUUUGAACGCACAUUGCGCCCGCCAGCACUCUGGCGGGCAUGCCUGUUCGAGCGUCAUUUCAACCAUCAAGCCCCAGGCUUGCGUUGGAGCCCUGCGGCUGCCGCAGCCUCCUAAAAGCAGUGGCGGGCUCGCUAUCACACCGAGUGCAGUAGAUUACUCUUCGCUCAGGGCGUGCAGCGGGUUCCGGCCGUGAAACCCCCUACUUUUAAAGGUUUACCUCGGAUCAGGUAGGAAUACCCGCUGAACUUAAGCAUAUCAAUAAGCGGAGGA